UACAGAGGUCUCAAGCGUUGUUCGGAUUCAUUGGGCGUAAAGGGUGCGUAGGUGGCGUCGUAAGUCAGGUGUGAAAUUUCGGAGCUUAACUCCGAAACUGCAUUUGAUACUGCGGUGCUUGAGGACUGGAGAGGAGACUGGAAUUUACGGUGUAGCAGUGAAAUGCGUAGAGAUCGUAAGGAAGACCAGUGGCGAAGGCGGGUCUCUGGACGGUUCCUGACACUGAGGCACGAAAGCGUGGGGAGCAAACGGG
rnacentral:rRNA from 1 species